rnacentral:lncRNA from 1 species
GUUGCAAAGGCAGAGAGUGAGAAGUGAUGACGGUGAUCGUUGUCGCCGCGUCUUCUGUGGAACCCAAGCAGUGCCGAAGGAAGUCGCAAGGCUCUUCCCCGACCUUUUGCUCCUCUCCCUGCGCGAGCCUCAGCUUACAAUGUAGCCCAAGCUGGCCCUUGGAUGUGUGGCAGUCGUACCUCUACCUCCUGAGCACUGAGAUUAUAGAGAUCUAGGCUUACAUUGCUGUUAAGCCUCCAACAGCGGCAGCCAGAUGGUGCAGUGUUUUUGAAACAGGCUCUGAUAAAUCCACAAAGAGGCCACUUGAGGUUGCAUCAAGUAACCAAUGAGAACUAACCAGGACAACUACCAACAGAAAUGCCCUUUUGCCAACUGACAAAUGGUGCUAUUUAGUGUAGUCGUUUUGUCAAACUUCUCAGAUCCAGGCCUCUGAGUCGGUCCACCUCAGUAUCUACCUCAUCUAUGAACUGCUGAGCAUGUGAAGGGGCCGGUCCUGCAGAUCCAAAGCUGCAGGAACUCCAUGACACGGGACAACAGGAUAUCCAAGAAGAGUCCUGAUGAGGAUCUGUAUUAAUGGUAUAACAGUAGCCAGAGGCCUUAAAGCACACCAAUGAAUAAUUGCAAUGAAAUUGAAUUUGCAGGUAAAGAAGUGUGGACAAAGGGUAUACUGUGGAACGUACUGUGACACACUGUGAUACACUACAGCUUCGUUUAUUUUUAUUUUUUAUUUUCUUUGGGGUGGAGGUUGCAAGGGUGGAGAUCAGGAGACAGGGCAAUGAAUGGAAUUGGGGUAUCUGAUGUAAAAUUCACAAAGAGUCAAUAAAAAGU